UACGUAGGAGACAAACGUUAUUCGGAGUUACUGGGCGUAAAGGGCGCGUAGGCGGUUUGUUAAGUCUGGCGUGAAAGCUCUCGGCUAAACCGGGAGAGGUCGUUGGAUACUGGCGAGCUAGAGGAUGGUAGAGGCGUGUGGAAUUCCGGGUGUAGUGGUGAAAUGCGUAGAGAUCCGGAGGAACACCAGUGGCGAAGGCGGCCACCUGGACGGUAACUGACGCUGAGACGCGAAAGCGUGGGGAGCAAACAGG
rnacentral:rRNA from 1 species